AGUGAACGCUGGCGGUAGGCCUAACACAUGCAAGUCGAACGAGUGGCGGACGGGUGAGGAAUACAUCGGAAUCUACUCUGUCGUGGGGGAUAACGUAUGGAAACUUACGCUAAUACCGCAUACGAUUGAAUGAGCCGAUGUCGGAUUAGCUAGUUGGUGGGGUAAAGGCCCACCAAGGCGACGAUCCGUAGCUGGUCUGAGAGGAUGAUCAGCCACACUGGAACUGAGACACGGUCCAGACUCCUACGGGAGGCAGCAGUGGGGAAUAUUGGACAAUGGGCGCAAGCCUGAUCCAGCCAUGCCGCGUGUGUGAAGAAGGCCUUCGGGUUGUAAAGCCCUUUUGUUGGGGAAGCGGUACCCAAAGAAGAAGCACCGGCUAACUUCGUGCCAGCAGCCGCGGUAAUUC
rnacentral:rRNA from 1 species